AGAGUUUGAUCCUGGCUCAGAACGAACGCUGGCGGCGUGGAUUAGGCAUGCAAGUCGAGCGAGAAUCCGGUGCUUCAAGUUUUCGGACAAGAAGUGUUGGAGGAAAGCGGCGAACUGGUGAGUAAUACAUGGGUAAUCUGCCCUCAAGUCUGGGAUAGCUUGCCGAAAGGCGGGGUAAUACCGGAUGUGGUCGUUUCGCGGAUGCGGAACUAUCCAAAGGUGGGGAUCCUUCGGGACCUGCUGCUUGGGGAUGAGCCCUUGUCCUAUCAGCUUGUUGGUGAGGUAAUGGCUCACCAAGGCUUACGGGUAGCUGGUCUGAGAGGAUGGUCAGCCACACUGGGACUGAGACACUGCCCAGACUCCUACGGGAGGCUGCAGUCGAGAAUCAUUCGCAAUGCGCGCAAGCGUGACGAUGCGACGCCGCGUGCAGGAUGAAGGCCUUCGGGUUGUAAACUGCCGUCGAGAAGGAACAAUAGUUCCGGUGCUAAUAUCGUCGGAAUGNGANA
rnacentral:rRNA from 1 species